AAAAAGGGCUUCUGUCGUGAGUGGCACACGUGGGGCAACUCAACUGCUCUUCGUGCGAAAUUGACAUCAAGAGAUUUCGGAAGCAUAAUUUUUCGGUACUGGGCAGCCGGUGAUUGUUGGUCCCGGUGCCCAA
ensembl:snRNA